AGUGAGCGUCUGCAUUUUUGACAAAACCAGAUAGCAUUUGAUGUUUUUGUCAGAACAAUUUAGUAAAGCUUUGACAAUUUUCUUUAUCUUUAUUGUUUUAGGAUCUCAGUGAUAAAGUUCAUUUAUUUCACGGCCUUUCUCAGGAUUUCUAACGUAUUUUUUAAUUUUUUUAUCUGUUUUCGCGAUACAGAGAUAAUGACGAAUUCGCAUGUGUUAUAUUUGUUAAGUAAAUUCAGAUAAUCAACAUGUAGAAUCGUGCAAUAAAUUAUCAUAAACAUUAUUUCUAAAAUUUACGUAAGAUUUGAAUGAUAAUUAACCAUGAAAAUUGAUUGGCUGUGCUAGAAUUUGGGGAAAAAAAACUCAAAAAAAACAUGAACCUUUCGUCAAAGAGACAACCAAAAUACAAUUUUGGUUUGUUAGAGACACCAAAAACAUCCGACAGUAGGGAGGCAACUUACCAGGGUGCCAGCAGUUCUUCUGUGCCAGGCACUAGCAGUCAAUUUUCUGUGCCAGGCACCAGCUUUGGACAAACACCAAGGACAUCCAGUUUAAGUUCAGGGAAUAGCCACAGUAACAGUACACAAGUAUCAGGGUUAAGUUCUAGUUCAUCUUCCAAACGUCCAAGAUACAAUGCUGGGAAUUCUAGUACUGGUAGUUCUGUAUCAUCAUCUUCAACACCUAAUGUGAGAUCCUCUACAUCCAGAACCUCUAACCCUGGAUCAUCAACCAGAACUCCUCGUGGGUUUUCAUCAUCAGGAAGGACACCUGGGUCUCGGAGGACUCCCUAUACAGGCUCCAGUAUGACUCCAGGUGCUACUCCAGCUAGAAUUGACAGAUCAGCUCUUGUAGCUAUAGUCGAAGGAAGGGGACUUGCAAGAGGGGAGAUAGGUAUGGCAACAUUGGAUUUAAAGAGACCUGAACUAGUGCUGUCCCAGUUCUCGGACAUGUCAACAUAUGUAAAAACCAUCACAAAACUGCAGAUUAUUCACCCCUUAGAGAUCAUUUUACCCAGCACUGCCUGUGAGUCUGGUACUAUGACAAAUCUGUCGAAAUUUAUCACUGAUCAGUUUCAUAAUACGAGUAUUUCUACUGUUCAAAGGAAAUACUUCAAUGAAACAAAAGGGCUAUUGUAUGUUAAACAGCUGUGUGUCCCUGAGUAUAGCAGUGUAGAGCUUGAAGUUUCUUCAAAAUACUAUUGCCUUGCAGCAGUAGCAGCAUUGAUGAAAUAUCUAGAGUUCAUACAGAACACAAUAUAUGCUCCUGCUUCACUCAAAAUUGUCUUCAAGGGAAGUGAAAACACUACUAUGAUUGAUGUAUCUACUGCCAAGAACUUAGAGCUGUUGCAGAACCAACGUGAUCCUCACAGUGACCACACCCUGUAUGGUAUCUUAAACUAUACAAAAACAGUUGCGGGAGCAAGAUUGCUUAGAUCUAACAUUCUUCAACCACCUUCAGAUAUAGAUACCAUCACCCUCAGACAAGAUGCUGUAUCAGAGCUAAUUGAGAAGCCUGAAAUAUUCUACAAUCUUGAGGCUGUAAUUGGCCGAUUUCUUGACAUAGACCAUCUACUGUCCUUGUGUGUACAAGUACAAAAACAGGAGAAUGUGAAAACUGCAGAGAACAAGAUAACUAAUGUGAUGUACUUGAAACAUACCCUGGAGUUAGUGACACCUCUAAGAGAAGCCCUUGGGGAUUGUGAAAACCCUCUACUCAUGGCAUCCUAUAAGGUUUUAGAAGACCCUAGAUUUGUGUUGAUGUUGGACAAAAUAAACUGUAUCAUACAUGAAGAUGCCAGGUACCAGAAGGGAACACUCAAUAUGAGAUCCCAGAAAUGUUUUGCUGUAAAGCCAAACAUGAAUGGACUCCUUGAUAUAUCGAGGAAAACAUACACUGAAAUGGUUGAUGACGUAACUGACCUUGUGAAUCAGAUGGCAGGUGCAUACAAUCUUCCACUAAAGGUAGCAUACAGUACCACUAGAGGCUUUCACAUACAGAUGUAUGGAGGUGGGGCAGAGGGCUACACUGCAGACAAUCUGCCAGGCAUUUUCAUGAAAGUCACAAAGUUUAAAAACACAUUUAGCUUUACCACUGCAGAUCUUAUAAAGAUGAAUGGUAUGUUGAAAUAUCAAAAAGUUCUUCAAAAAAAAUUCUUCAAGGCUUAUAGAGUGAAGGAAUCCUUGCAUGAGAUAUACAUGAUGACAAGUAUAGUGAUGACAGAGCUGUUAAACAAUAUUCGUGAUGAUAUUGGAGCAUUGUACAAGUUGACAGAGACUGUAGCUACCAUUGACAUGCUGCUGUCCUUUGCGCAUGCAUGUACACUGUCAGACUUUGUGAGACCAGAAUUCACUGACACAUUUGCAGUUAAACAAAGCAGGCAUCCUAUCUUGGAGAAGAUAUCUAUAGAACAUCCUGUACCAAAUAACAUUUAUGCUUCAGAAGACAGCAACUUUGUGGUAAUUACAGGUCCGAAUAUGAGUGGAAAGUCUACAUACCUGCGUCAGAUUGCCUUGCUACAGAUCAUGGCCCAGAUUGGUUCAUUUGUACCAGCUGAGUAUGCCUCAUUUAGAAUAGCCAAUCAGAUCUUCUCUAGGAUAGGUAGUGAUGAUGACCUUGAAACAAACUCGUCAACAUUUAUGAUGGAGAUGAAAGAGAUCAACUACAUUAUUCAAACAGUUUCUGCAAAUUCUUUGAUUAUAAUUGAUGAACUUGGAAGGGGAACAAGUGUAGAAGAAGGAGUUGGCAUUUGUUUCUCUAUCUGUGAACAUCUUAUUGCUACCAAGGCCUUCACAUUCUUUGUGACACAUUUUCGAGAGUUGACAAUGCUUGACAGCUUGUAUCCAAAUGUAGAAAAGUAUACAGUUGGCUGAAAUUUCUACACUACCUCAGUCUGUAGUGACAAAUGCCAAACAGCUUGCUAUAAAAAUAGAAGAGGAGAAAAAGAACAGUGAGAAGCAGGACAAGGAGAUCUGCCGACAGAGAGCAGUGUUCAAAUUGGCAACAAGACUGGUUCAAGCAGCCAGAAGCUCUAGGCUUGAUGAUGAUAGUCUCAGACAAUAUGUUGCCUCUCUCAAGAAAAA
rnacentral:misc_RNA from 1 species